GCCCCAGGAAGCUCUAGCCCCCAUUCUACCAUGUAAGGAUGCAAGAAGUUGGCAGUCUGCAACUCAGAAGAGAGCCUGCAUCAGGCUGGGCACAGUGGCUCACGCCUGUAAUCCCAGCAUUUUGGGAGGCCAGGGCAGGUGGAUCAAUUAAGGUCAGGAGUUUGAGACCAGCCUGGCCAACAUGGCGAAACACUAUCUCUGUGAAAAAUACAAAAUUAGCUGGUGGCGUGUGCCUUAAUCCCAGCUACACGGGAUAGUGAGGCAGGAGAAUCGCUUGAACCCAGGAGGCAGAGGUUGCAGUGAGCCGAGAUCGCAGUACCGCACUCCAGCCUGGGCAACACAGUGAGACUCCAUCUCAAAACACCAAAAGAAGAGGAGGGCGGGGGAGAGGAAGAAGAAGUAAGAAGAAAGAAGAAAGAAGAAAGAAGAAAGGAGAAGAAGAAGAAGAGUAGUGGUGGAGAAGGAGGAGGAGGAGGAGGAGGAAGAACCAGAACAAGAACAAGAAGAGGAAAGCCUGCAUCAGAAGCCAACCAUGCUGGCACCCUGAUUUUGGACUUCCAAUGGUCAGAACUUUGAAAAAUUAAUUUCUGCUAUUUAUAAGCCUCCCAGCCUAUGAUACUGUUAGAGCAGCUCACUGCCUACAACAGCAUAUGCUUAAUGCCAUGUCCAGUACACAGUCACAUGUUCCAUAGAUGUUCAUGUCCUUCUCCCACCUCUAAUUCCAGUCCUGUGCUCUGCCUACCCCGGAGUGAGCAUGAUGCUGUUUCAUUCGUUCUGCUCCCUGAAUUUGAGAUGUCAGAGUUAAUUCCACUGUGUAAACGGCGACCCUGGAAACCAGCCAAGAGCAGCCAGCAAUCAGGGACCACUUCGGGCUCACGGGGACUGCUGAGCAGGGGCUGGCUGGAGGAAGAUUUCCAGUCAUCGCAUCUUCUGAAACCCUCUCAAACUGCCUCUCCCAAAUGACGACACUUUCAGCUCAAGAGUCAUUUCAUUCUGAAACAAUUGCCAAGCACCAGGCAUGCCCAGCCAUGGGUAGGAAUGAGUGAUGCACUUCCUCUGAUCUAUGUCUGUUCCUUUGGAAAACGCUCAUUGCUCAGUG
rnacentral:lncRNA from 1 species